rnacentral:rRNA from 1 species
AACGGCGGCCGUAACUAUAACGGUCCUAAGGUAGCGAAAUUCCUUGUCAGGUAAGUUCUGACCCGCACGAAAGGUGUAAUGAUUUGGGAGCUGUCUCGACAAUGUACUCGGCGAAAUUGUAGUACUAGUGAAGAUGCUAGUUACCUGCGACAAGACAGAAAGACCCCAUGGAGCUUUACUGCAGCUUGAUACUGGGUUUUGGUAAUUUAUGUACAGGAUAGGUGGGAUGCUAUGAAGCAAUUGCGCCAGCAAUUGUGGAGCAGACGUUGGGAUACCACCCUUAAAUUACUGAAAUUCUAACUAGCCGUCAUAAACUGGCGGGAGGACAAUGUCAGGCGGGCAGUUUGACUGGGGCGGUCGCCUCCUAAAGAGUAACGGAGGCGCGCAAAGGUUUCCUCAGCGCGGACAGAAAUCGCGCGAAAGAGUGCAAAGGCAGAAGGAAGCUUAACUGAGAGACAGACAUGUCGACCAGAUACGAAAGUAGGUCUUAGUGAUCCGGUGGUAGUAAGUGGGAAUGCCAUCGCUCAACGGACAAAAGUUACCCUGGGGAUAACAGGCUUAUCUCCCCCAAGAGUUCACAUCGACGGGGAGGUUUGGCACCUCGAUGUCGGCUCAUCACAUCCUGGAGCGGAAGUACGUUCCAAGGGUUGGGCUGUUCGCCCAUUAAAGUGGUACGCGAGCUGGGUUCAGAACGUCGUGAGACAGUUCGGUCCUUAUCUGUCGCAGGCGGAGGAUAUUUGAAGGGAGUUGACCUUAGUACGAGAGGACCAGGUUGAAGGAACCGAUGGUGCACCAGUUGUACUACCAAGUGCAUAGCUGGAUAGCUAAGUUCCGAAGGGAUAAACGCUGAAAGCAUCUAAGUGUGAAGCCCACCCUAAGAUAAGAUAUCCCAUACCGCAAGGUAGUAAGAUUCCAUUAAGACUAAAUGGUUGAUAGGUUGGAGGUGUAAGUGUAGUGAUACAUUGAGCUGACCAAUACUAAUAAAUCGAGGGCUUAACUAU